CAUUGGGAAAAUUUUCGCACCAAAUUCUAGCAUACGUCCUUAACGGUGAUUUUUAACAGUAUUAUAACUUUAAACCAAUCAUCGUAAAUGGUCAAACGUUUUAUCGACUGAUGGGCGGAGUUAAAACUGUCAAUUUUGUAAUAGCGAAUUUACUACAGAACAUAUCAGUAUUGACGUGAAAAGAGUUAAAUCAUUGUCGCUUACAUAAUUUAAUGGAGAAGCCAAGGCAAUAAUAUUUUAUGAAUAAAUACAUAGCAGUGUAGGUGCCCGCCCGCUUAGUAGGUAGAGCGUUGGUCUACGGAUCGCGGGGUCGUGAGUUCGAUCCUCGGGCGGGGCGUAUGUUCUCCGUGACUAUUUGAUAAACGACAUUGUGUCUGAAAGCAUUAGUUCUCCACCUCUGAUUCAUAUGGGGAAGUUUGCAGUUACUUGCGGAGAACAGGUUUGUACUGGUACAGAAUCCAGGAACACUAGUUAGGUUAACUGCCCGCCGUUACAUGACUAAAAUACUGUUGGAAAACGGCGUUAAACCCAAAACAAACAAAACAAACAAACAAAGCAAUGUAGACAAUCGCAUGUACAAGUCAUACCUCUUGGUAAAAAAACGAGAAAUAAAGGCGUACGUAGGAUUUAUAUAGGCAGAUGGCCCCCAACUUUUGAAAAAUAAUAAGAUCGAUGACAGUGUUGAAAAUCGACAGUUUUCGCUAAAAUAAACUUUAAACUACCGAACUGUGUCGUUUUUAAUAAUAACAGAUUCUCAGUAUUGAUGUAAAAUGAGUUUAAAGUACGACCGGUACAGGCAUUUUGCGUUAAAAUUGCUGCAUUCGGCCAUUUCAGGCUCAAAAUUCGCUUAUUAGCAACCCUUGCUUCAGUUAACAGUUUAUAACAGCUAUUUCAUUUGUUAAUUCUAUUUAAUAUUUUCCUAACCAGAAACUGAAGCAAGGGUUGCUAAUAAAUGAAUUUUGGAAAAAAUGAUAUUAUUUGUCUGGUCUUUCUCACGUAUAAGAGUGGCCUCCCUUGAAGCAAGGUGCUCGUUGCCAGGCAAUAUUAUAGGUGGCGCCGCUGUCAACAUGUGCAUGUGAAAACGAAAGUAGAUUGUUUAUGUAGGAAUUAUUACAACAUUUUAUCCUUCUACGUUGAAAAUUUAAGAUAUAAUAGUAUGAAUAUUGAGAUAAUUAUUAAGUUACCUUCAACUGGUCAGUGGUCAAAAGGGAGUAUUUCUGUGUGUCUUGAAGCAUUGAAUGCCCCAAAACAACCAGUAUGAUAAAAAGGUAAUUUAGAACUCUUUUCCUUCAAAUGCCUUUCACAAAAUUACAAAACCUGUAACUGAGGAAUUGAAUUACCUAAGAAGAUCUGAUAAAUAAAACUUCAAAACACUAAUUAUGCUCUGAUGUACACACAGAUUGUACUUUGCAUUUUUAUAUUUAUAAAGAUGAGAAGAUAGUUCAUGUAUAUAUUUGUUUCUGCACAAGAUUCAGAAUAAAUUUUCUAUCAACUAUGACAAAAGCAGACAGAUUUCAAUAUAUAUCAUAACAAAAUUCAAUAUUUUAGGAACUUCAUUUCAAAAGGAUAUAUUAAAAUCUAUCAAGUUGCUUUAUAUUACAUUACAGACCAGGUUAUACAGCUUCCCAAAAUGUUGAAAGACUAAGCUGUUUUUCUAUGGACUUGUAUGUAUUUUGAAUGUUUGAUUUCUCUGUUUAACCUUAUGAUUGAAUAUUUCAUUUCAAUUAGUCAUGACACUAAGCCUUUUUCUAGUAAUUUGCAUCUACAUUUCAACAUGUUUACACUUUUUUACCCAGAAAGAUAUUCUUUUAUUUCUUUCAUUCUAGGUAUACUAUCUAGGUUGAAAACAGCCAUGGACAAUGAAUUUGGAGCUGCAUGCUGGAGCAUCAGAAAUUACAUACCUGGAAUAAAUAAUUGCACAACACACAUUUACUGAGAAGUGAAUAAUGUUUAUGUUAAAGUGCAAUAUCCAUGUUUGUAACAUUUAAUUGGGGGUAAUAGUUACAGUGUUGAAAGAGACUACCAGUGUUACAUUUCAGUCAAAGUUACAGUGUGGGUGCUAAUUCUAAAUUCUUGAUAAUCAAGUGUUUUUAAUAACUUAUGAAUACUAAUUACUUAUCAAACUGUUUAAUUUAUCACAUUCCUACAUCAUUAUUUUAUAUAAAAUGCUUGUAGUUAUAUAAUAUAUGUCAGGUUAAAUGGUAAUAAAUUUUGUUUCUGUGUAAA